rnacentral:lncRNA from 1 species
AUAAUCUUCCUAAUAAUGUAUAAACCAAUUAUUUAUUUGUGACCAUGGGCCUUUUGUUUUGAAUUUGAGCAACUCCUGGAGUAUUUCCACUUAGUUUCAGCUAUUGAAGAUUUACAGAAAGUGCAACUCAUUCGUGGUAAUUGACUUCGCCAUGUAGAAAGCUCACGCGGGGGUCAAUUUUACGUUGUUUGCGGGUUAGGAGAUUUGAAAAGCACCUCACAUGGCCCCUAAAAUUAUUUACAUGAAAUGCUCCAUCCCAUGAAUUUAAAGGUCCCAUUGUCUCACUGUUUGGUUUUGAGUUUUGAUUGUACAGAAUAACGCGUUACAUGAACUUUGCUACAGCUCUUCUUGUUUUCUGACCAGAAGCACACCGCACUAAAGCCAUGGUGUUGUAGGGCACACCCACCAACAAACAUGUAUGUGGUCUAUAAGGGACUCACUUUGUACAAGUAAUUGACGAUUGAUAUUAUUGAUUUUAAAUAUAUUUUUUAAAUUAGUUGUUGCCG